GGGGAAUUUUCCGCAAUGGGCGAAAGCCUGACGGAGCAAUACCGCGUGAGGGAGGAAGGCUCUUGGGUUGUAAACCUCUUUUCUCAGGGAAUAAGUACUGAAGGUACCUGAGGAAUCAGCAUCGGCUAACUCCGUGCCAGCAGCCGCGGUAAUACGGAGGAUGCAAGCGUUAUCCGGAAUGAUUGGGCGUAAAGCGUCCGCAGGUGGUUAUUCAAGUCUGCUGUCAAAGAAUCUGGCUCAACCAGAUAAAGGCAGUGGAAACUGAAAGACUAGAGUAUGGUAGGGGUAGAGGGAAUUCCUGGUGUAGCGGUGAAAUGCGUAGAGAUCAGGAAGAGCACCGGUGGCGAAAGCGCUCUGCUGGACCAUAACUGACACUGAGGGACGAAAGCUAGGGGAGCGAAUGGGAUUAGAUACCCCAGUAGUC
rnacentral:rRNA from 1 species